ACCGGGUGGGUGCACGUGCAGAAGGACAGGACCGGGGAGGGCGAAUUAAAAGGGUGACAACUUCUGCGGAGAUACUUACUAUAAGGAUAUCUAUGGUAAUUCUGUAGCUAAAACUGUUGUUUUUCACUUAGUUUGAAUUGCAACCCGACUCAGCGUUCGCUGAUUUGUGAGAAAUGAUUCAUAGCUAAAUCAGAUUUUCUGAUAUUCCGCAAAGGUUUCCGACCUAUCAGUUUCUGGCGGUAGAGUCUUGGUCUACCGAUACUAUGACGGGUAACGGGGAAUCAGGGUUUUAUUCCGGAGAGGGAGCUUGAGAAAUAGCUACCACAUCUAAGGAUGGCAGCAGGCGCGCAAAUUACCCAAUCUUAACAUAAGGAGGUAGCGACAAAAAAUACCGUUGUUUGGCUUUUAAGUCAACAAACGGAAUGAGGGUUGACUAAAUAUCUUCCCUAAAGUCCAUUGGAGGGCAAGUCUGGUGCCAGCAGCCGCGGUAAUUCCAGCUCCAAUAGUAUAUGCCAAUGUUGUUGCAGUUAAAACGCUCGUAGUCUAUAGUAAACUAGCCGGCAGUCAACACAAUUUUGCGUUGAAUGUUCGUGCUUUCAGUACUUUCUCUGAUUGUACUUGAAACCUUAAGAAAUUUAUGGUGCUCCAUGCUGGCUCAACGCCAAAAUAAUUGUGUUUGGAAUAUCAUUGUGGAUUCUCAUAUUCGGGUAAUAUUGAGAAUAUCUUCCGUACAAAAACAGCUGGGGACUCUCAUAUUCAGUGGUUAGAGGUGAAAUUCUUAGAUUCUCUGAAGAUGAACGAAUGCGAAAGCAUAUGUCCAGGCUGAUUUUUUUGAUCAAGAACGAAAGUUGAGGAUUCGAAGACGAUCAGAUACCGUCGUAGUCUUAACUAUAAACCAUGCCAGCUAAGUUUUGGAAAGUGCAUUCAAGCUUUUUCUUGACUCAGGAAGAAAUUCUAAGCUUUUGGGUUCUGGGGGGAGUAUUGUCGCAAGGCUGAAACUUAAAGGAAUUGACGGAAGGGCACCACCAGGAGUGGAGCUUGCGGCUUAAUUUGACUCAACGCGGGACAGUUUACCAGGCUUAGACAUACACAUGAUUGACAGUUUGAUAGCUCUUUCUUGAUGAUAUGGGUGGUGGUGCAUGGCCGUUCUUAGUUGGUGGAGUGAUUUGUUUGGUUAAUUUCGUUAACGAACGAGACUUGUACUCUAUUGUCUAAUGUGUGAAAGUUGCUUUCUAUCAUUUCCAAUAGGGACUUCGGUCAACAGGCCGCGGAAGUUUCAAGCAAUAACAGGUCAGUGAUGCCCUUAGAUAGUCUGGGCUGCACGCGUGCUACAAUAGAGAUGUUACUACAUUUUUGUGUUCGAAAGAACAUAGAAAUUAUGAAACUUCUCUAUAUCCGGGAUUGACAAUUGUAAUUAUUUGUCAUGAACGUGGAACUCCUAGUAAGCAUAUAUCAUGAUUAUGUGCUGACUACGUCCCUGCCCUUUGUACACACCGCCCGUCGCCUCAAUUGACUGGAUGUUUUGGUGAUUACUUCUGACCGGUGUCUCUAUAUUUUAUAUCCGGUAGGGGUAAUUCAACGAGAACGUUCCUCCAGGAAAUGCACAGAUC
rnacentral:rRNA from 1 species